UGGAGGCAAAUAUAAGGCGGAGUUAAAUUGGGGUAAAUUAAAUUGGGGAAAAAAUUAGGGCAGAGUUAAAUGGGGGAUUUUAUGUUUCGAGGGUCGAAGUGCUUGGUUAUGUUCGUUCUCUGAGACAUAGGUCAAUUGCUUGGUUUCUUCGAAGGAGAAUCGUGACCCAAGGAGCAAGGGUUAUCAGUUACUAUGGUGGGGGAGCAUAUACGUUUUGUCAGCGUGGACUUCCAUUUGAAGCGAAAAGGUGAAAGGUGCGUUUUUGAUGAGUUAUUUUAUGUUGUUGGGGUCCCCUAUGGAAGUAUGUUUUGUUGUUGUUCCCUUAGUGUAUUCUGUUGUGGUCCCGUUGUUUAUGUUGUUUGAUGACGUUAUGCGCACUAUUUUUAGGUCUUUGGUCCCCCAUUUGAAUAUGAAAUUGCUUAUUCUGUGUUUGAUUGUUU
rnacentral:lncRNA from 1 species